AGCUCACUGCAUGGUUGGUGAUGAAAAUGUUUGAAUAAAAUAUAAACAAGAAAAUGUGCAUUUUAGCUCCAGUUUUGCAGGACUUUCGUCCCUAAAGGUGUUUCUGUGAAUGAACCUCAAGUAGAAUCGAGGUUCAGUGUAAACAACAACAGUCAACACCAGUUUUUGAAAAGGAAAUAAAGUCAGAGCAACAAAAUCACGUAAAGAACCGACCGUCAGCUUCAUCACUUCUGUUUUACCAGAAAUCCACCUGAGACCCGAGGUUCCUCCACUGAGCAGCACUUCCGUCAGGACGGAUCGGCCGGCGUGAGGACGAACGUAAUUGGACCGACAAGUGACACAUAUGUGGAAACCAGAAGAUGAUGGCGGAGACGACUCGGAUCAUGUGACCUGCACCUCACAUGCCUCCUCCAAGUACCCUCAAGCCAGAGACCAGAAAUGCAACGAUGAAGCUGCCAAAUGAGAAUUCCUUCGUUCAUCUGCACAGCUGGAUCAUCCUCAAAUCAAAGGUUUGACACAGUGUGAUCUCCUCUUUCCUCGAGAUCCAACUGGGAAUAUUUAGUGAAACUCGGAAAGUUUGCUUCAACAGCAUCAAAGAAUCAAAUCAAG
ensembl:lncRNA